ACUCCUACGGGAGGCAGCAGUGGGGAAUAUUGCACAAUGGGCGCAAGCCUGAUGCAGCCAUGCCGCGUGUGUGAAGAAGGCCUUCGGGUUGUAAAGCACUUUCAGCAGUGAGGAAGGCGGAGUCGUUAAUAGCGGCCUCGUUUGACGUUAGCUGCAGAAGAAGCACCGGCUAACUCCGUGCCAGCAGCCGCGGUAAUACGGAGGGUGCGAGCGUUAAUCGGAAUUACUGGGCGUAAAGCGCAUGCAGGUGGUUUGUUAAGUCAGAUGUGAAAGCCCGGGGCUCAACCUCGGAAUUGCAUUUGAAACUGGCAGACUAGAGUACUGUAGAGGGGGGUAGAAUUUCAGGUGUAGCGGUGAAAUGCGUAGAGAUCUGAAGGAAUACCGGUGGCAAGGCGGCCCCCUGGACAGAUACUGACACUCAGAUGCGAAAGCGUGGGGAGCAAACAGGAUUAGAUACCCUGGUAGGAUAGCGUAGUCGUGGGAACAAGGCACACAGGGGGGAUA
rnacentral:rRNA from 1 species